AUUGAACGCUGGCGGCAGGCCUAACACAUGCAAGUCGAACGAGUGGCGGACGGGUGAGUAAUGUCUGGGAAACUGCCUGAUGGAGGGGGAUAACUACUGGAAACGGUAGCUAAUACCGCAUACCAUCGGAUGUGCCCAUAUGGGAUUAGCUAGUAGGUGGGGUAAAGGCUCACCUAGGCGACGAUCCCUAGCUGGUCUGAGAGGAUGACCAGCCACACGGGGACUGAGACACGGCCCAGACUCCUACGGGAGGCAGCAGUGGGGAAUAUUGGACAAUGGGCGCAAGCCUGAUGCAGCCAUGCCGCGUGUAUGAAGAAGGCCUUCGGGUUGUAAAGUACUUUCGGCGGAGAGGCGUUACCCGCAGAAUAAGCACCGGCUAACUCCGUGCCAGCCGCCGCGGUAAUUC
rnacentral:rRNA from 1 species